rnacentral:tRNA from 1 species
GAGGAUGUAGCUCAGUGGUAGAGCACUUGCCUAGAAUGCAUGAGGCCUUAGCUUCAAUCCCAAGCACUGCA